rnacentral:lncRNA from 1 species
GACGAAUGACUUGUACUUGCAAUAGCUCCAACCCAAUAAAUAUGCCCCAAGGAAAUUCCAUGACCAAUCUGAGGAGGAGGAAAGCGAUGAGGAAGGAGAAGAUGAUGAUGAUGAUGACGAUGAUGACGACGAUGAUGAUGAGGAAGAGUAAAAAAAAGAGAUGGAGGAAGACUCCCAACUACCUAUAAUUACGAUGAGGCAUUCAAUCGGAAAGACCAUCGAUAAAAGGCGUGAGUAUCCACAACCC